UCUACGGGGGGCAGCAGUGGGGAAUAUUGCACAAUGGGGGAAACCCUGAUGCAGCAACGCCGCGUGAAGGAAGACGGUUUUCGGAUUGUAAACUUCUGUUCUUAGUGAAGAAUAAUGACGGUAGCUAAGGAUCAAGCCACGGCUAACUACGUGCCAGCAGCCGCGGUAAUACGUAGGUGGCAAGCGUUGUCCGGAAUUACUGGGUGUAAAGGGAGCGCAGGCGGCAGCGCAAGCCAGGAGUGAAAGCCCGGGGCCCAACCCCGGGACUGCUCUUGGAACUGCGCGGCUGGAGUGCAGGAGGGGCAGGCGGAAUUCCUGGUGUAGCGGUGAAAUGCGUAGAUUUCAGGAGGAACACCGGUGGCGAAGGCGGCCUGCUGGACUGCGACUGACGUUGAGGCCCGAAAGCGUGGGGAGCAAACAGGAUUAGAUACCCUUGUAGUC
rnacentral:rRNA from 1 species